UUGCUCUUCAACGAGGAAUCCCUAGUAAGCGCAAGUCAUCAGCUUGCGUUGAUUACGUCCCUGCCCUUUGUACACACCGCCCGUCGCUACUACCGAUUGAAUGGCUCAGUGAGGCUUCCGGACUGGCCCAGAGAGGUCGGCAACGACCACUCAGGGCCGGAAAGCUAUCCAAACUCGGUCAUUUAGAGGAAGUAAAAGUCGUAACAAGGUCUCCGUUGGUGAACCAGCGGAGGGAUCAUUACAGAGUUGCAAGACUCCCUAAACCAUUGUGAACCUACCUUCUACCGUUGCUUCGGCGGGCGGGCCCAGCGCCCCCCCGGCCCCCCGCGGGCGCCCGCCGGAGGAUACCCAAACUCUUGACAUUAGUGGCCUCUCUGAGUAUUCUUUACUGAAUAAGUCAAAACUUUCAACAACGGAUCUCUUGGUUCUGGCAUCGGUGAAGAACGCAGCGAAAUGCGAUAAGUAAUGUGAAUUGCAGAAUUCAGUGAAUCAUCGAAUCUUUGAACGCACAUUGCGCCCGCCAGUAUUCUGGCGGGCAUGCCUGUUCGAGCGUCAUUUCAACCAUCAAGCCCCCGGGCUUGUGUUGGGGACCUGCGGCUGCCCGCAGGCCCUGAAAACCAGUGGCGGGCUCGCUAGUCACACCGAGCGUAGUAGCAUACAUCUCGCUCAGGGCGUGCUGCGGGUUCCGGCCGUUAAACAGCCUCUGCGCUACACCCAAGGUUGACCUCGGAUCAGGUAGGAAGACCCGCUGAACUUAAGCAUAUCAAUAAGCGGAGGA
rnacentral:rRNA from 1 species